AACGGAAAUUCCCCUUAGAACUCACAGGAUGCUUCGAGUCACAUUUGUCAGGCUUCUGAUCUGGAAACCAUGGAUCGUAUCCUCAAUACUCAUUCAAAGUCGACACAUGGCGCAUCACCGUAUCAAGUUCAGAUCGAAGAAUGUUGGAGAUUACUUCGUCAAUACAGAUACCAUCUAGACCAUCCAUUACAAAGAGACAGCACACCCUUACAAUAUACCUGACAAGGAAAGUCGGAUCUGUAUGGACAUCUCGCCUCAACUAACCAAACAAUACAUCGACAUCAACCACACGCACAGCCGCCAAGAGGAACCCCUGUACAAAGUACAUAUCAAAACGUGGACAUAUCAGUAUGCAAGGACUGUCACUACCAGCUAAACAAACCAUCAAAUACACGAUCCAGAGUCCAACAUCAGUUCAACUUGGCCAGAACUACUGGACGGGAUUGCGUCGAAGGCGAUGAAUACCUACAACUCGUAGCCUAGGCACAUUGGUUGGUUGACUUUCCGCCACUAACGGUGGAUCUCACCACUCCGUAUCCCAGUGAGCAUUGGAUACGCAUGCAUACAUACAUCAAACCUGAGGAUAGUUACAAGGUCCUCGUUUCUUACAUAUCUACCAACCUUGAAACCCUCAACCUUGGAGAGAACUGCGUCGUGAGUUGGUAAAGUUUUACCCCUCGCAACUUGCUGGCAGUAAGAGCCUGGGAGGAGAACGAAGGUUUUCCCCCACACUUAACAAGUAC
rnacentral:lncRNA from 1 species